AGUGAACGCUGGCGGUAGGCCUAACACAUGCAAGUCGAACGGCAGCACAGUAAGAGCUUGCUCUUACGGGUGGCGAGUGGCGGACGGGUGAGGAAUACAUCGGAAUCUACUUUUUCGUGGGGGAUAACGUAGGGAAACUUACGCUAAUACCGCAUACGACCUACGGGUGAAAGCAGGGGAUCUUCGGACCUUGCGCGAUUGAAUGCGCCGAUGUCGGAUUAGCUAGUUGGCGGGGUAAAGGCCCACCAAGGCGACGACCCGUAGCUGGUCUGAGAGGAUGAUCAGCCACACUGGAACUGAGACACGGUCCAGACUCCUACGGGAGGCAGCAGUGGGGAAUAUUGGACAAUGGGCGCAAGCCUGAUCCAGCCAUACCGCGUGUGUGAAGAAGGCCUUCGGGUUGUAAAGCCCUUUUGUUGGGAAGGAAAAGCAGCAGGUUAAUACCCCGCUGUUCUGACGGUACCCGAAGAAUAAGCACCGGCUAACUUCGUG
rnacentral:rRNA from 1 species